rnacentral:rRNA from 1 species
CCUACGGGAGGCAGCAGUGGGGAAUUUUGGACAAUGGGCGAAAGCCUGAUCCAGCGACGCCGCGUGGAGGACGAAGGUCUUCGGAUUGUAAACUCCUUUUGCAGGGGACGAAAAAAAUGACGGUACUCUGCGAAUAAGCCACGGCUAACUACGUGCCAGCAGCCGCGGUAAUACGUAGGUGGCGAGCGUUACUCGUAAUCACUAGGCGUAAAGCGCGUGUAGGCGGUAUUUUAGGUCUGUUGUGAAAUCUUAUGGCUCAACGAAAAAAUGUCACCAGAUACUGAAGUACUAGAGUGAGGCGGGGGAAACUGAAAUUCCAGGGGUAGGGGUGGAAUGCGUAGAUAUCUGGAAGACCGCCAAAG